rnacentral:rRNA from 1 species
UAUGCGAUACUUGGUGUGAAUUGCAGAAUUCAGUGAAUCAUCGAAUCUUUGAACGCAUCUUGUGCUCUUUGGUAUUCCGAGGAGCAUGCCUGUUUGAGUGUCAUUAAAUUCUCAACUCUUCUACACUUGACUGUGAGGAAGGGCUUGGAUAGUGGAGGUUUGUGCUGGCCACUUUUUGAGGUCAGCUCCUCUGAAAUGCAUUAGCGGAACCGUUUGCGAUCUGCCACAAGUGUGAUAAUUAUCUACACUGGCGAGGGGAUUGCUCUCUGUGUUGUUCAGCUUCUAAUCAUCUCUGCAUAGCGAGAUAAUUGACUGAAUGCUUGACCUCAAAUCAGGUAGUACUAGCCUGCUGAACUUAAGCAUAUCAAUAAGCGGAGGAA